rnacentral:rRNA from 1 species
UACAGAGGUCUCAAGCGUUGUUCGGAUUCAUUGGGCGUAAAGGGCGCGUAGGCGGGUGACCAAGUCCGGGGUGAAAUCUUUCGGCUUAACCGGAAAAGUGCCUUGGAUACUGGUCGCCUGGAGGGAGGUAGGGGCAUGUGGAACUUCCGGUGGAGCGGUGAAAUGCGUUGAUAUCGGAAGGAACGCCGGUGGCGAAAGCGACGUGCUGGCCCUCUUCUGACGCUGAGGCGCGAAAGCCAGGGGAGCGAACGGG